AUGCUAUACAUUAAGCUUUUGACGAAGGUGUUGUCACAAAUCAAUUAAGCACCGAUUCAGUUAAAUAAUGAUUAAAAUACAAUUAUUUUAUAAAAUAAAUUAUAUUAUUUUGAAGGUAUUUUGUCCUUUUACAUUUCAUAAAAAAAAUAGAAGAAUGCACAUAAUAUGAUUUGAACUUAAAACUUUAAAAAACUUUAUAAUUUCAACUAAAGCCUCCUUUGUUUUUUAUAUCAAAUUUUAUAAAUAUAUUUGUUACAUAAUGUUUAGGAGUCUAAGGAGGGCCCUCUGUUAGUCAUCUGUUAGUCUGUUAGUCUAUUAUACUCAAGUUGUUAUACAGUUGCUGAAUUGUUAGCAACAAAUUACUCAUACAACACUUAUAAAUACUUGUAAUUGUACAGAUUCAAGAAAUAACAACAAUCAAUUCAAUUUCUCUAUUCAAUUUCUGAAUUACUUUUCAAUUUUACUAGAGAUAUUAACAUGGUAUUAGUUGCCUACCUUUUGGAGACCUGAUAUAUUGUGAUUUCAUGUCUACCACUGCUUCCGCCGACUCAACCACUGCUCCUCCUUGCUGCUCAAUGUUCACUAGCACUCAGUUGGUUCAGUCCUUUCCUUAUCACGAUACUGUUAAGCUAGAUGAAAAUAAUUUUGUGCAAUGGCAACAGCACAUACGUUUGAUUACAAAAGGAUAUAAUUUGACCCAUUUUUUAGAAGGCACAUUACCUGCUCCAUCAAGGUUCGUACAGUCACUGGAUGGAUUUUGGUGGCAAAUCCGGAAGCCUCGGCUUAUGUUUAACAGGAUAAGUUGCUUGCUUCUUGGCUUCUUUCUACUAUUAGCUCAUCUCUUUUGUCUAGUUUCAAAGAUGCGAAGUCGGCGUGUGACGUUUGGACCACCGCUACUCGUCUCUUUGCUGCUGUCUCCGGUGCGAAGCUCUCCCGAAUCCGUCAUGAUCUCCACUUGAUCAAGAAAGGUGCGAUGUCAAUCACGGAGUACAUCGCGAAGAUCUAGAACACAUGUGCCUUGAUAGAUGCAGCUGGAUCUCGGAUUUCAAAAACAGAGAAGGUAGAGAUCGUGUUUGCCGGGUUACCAUCGGAGUUUGACGCUGUACUCACUCUUGCGUCCUUUUCGUCCGAACCUCUGCCAUUGCAACGUUUGGUUGAUAUCUUGUUGGAGUUUGAGAGUAGGUAGAUUCGUGCGAUUCGGGAGGCACCGUUACAUACACAUCUGGUCGAGGCAACUCCGUCAACAAUGGUGGUCGAUUCCGCGCGUAGAGGCCGUUCGCUUGUUGGUUGUGGGAGAGGUUUUAGAUCUUGCAUUCCAUGCCAAAUAUGUGGUCAGUCUGGGCACUUGGCUCAACGGUGUUAUUACCAUUUCAACCGUGACUGUGGUGGUCCGGCGUCGGGGGCAAGGGUCUCAUCUUCGUCCAGUUUUGUCAAUCAAGGUUCUGGUGUGCUGUAUGCUGCUGUGCCCGCCCCGAUGUCAAUCUCCAGUGCUGGUCUCCCCUCGAUGGUGCCACAGUUGAAUUUUCCUAAUGGAUGGUGGGGUGGUUCUCUACCAGUUGCAGCUCUCUUAUUUUUGCAACAGACCAGGGUUUCUCAACAUUUUAUUUCACAUGAGGAUGGGGCUGGCUAUUCGUUUCGGCCAUCCGUUGGGCCUAGUGUAAUGUGUCAUCCGUUGAGCCUAGUCCUUUAAUUGGACUUUCUAAUCAAGCUGGGCCAUAUUCAGCAGGCACUAAUUUUGGGCACCAUUUCCACAAUAUUGGAUCGUCCACCACUUUAGCUCUCCAUGAGCCGAUUUCGAACUAUAUUCAAUUUGAGGGGUCUAUUGAUCAUGGUCUGGGUUUUCGGCCUAUAAGUGGCGAGGAGUUUGGGCCGAAUUAUGGGUCCCGCAUUCCAUGGAUGAGAAAACCACGUGCUUGUGUUUUUCCUACAUCGGCUCUGCCGUGUGUUGGGUUGCCCCAUGUUCCCAACUUUCACACAUCUAAUGUCUCAAAUUCCACUAGAUCUAAUAUUAGUUCAACUAAUUUUGGGUCUAAUUUUGAUGAUGAUUCAUAUAUUCCUAUGCUUGUAGGGAUGUCAUCUUGGUCUCCAAAUUUAGGGGCUACGCAUCACGUCUGUCCAGAGGCCUCUGCCUUAAA
rnacentral:lncRNA from 1 species